rnacentral:rRNA from 1 species
CGGACGGGUGAGUAAUGUCUGGGAAACUGCCCGAUGGAGGGGGAUAACUACUGGAAACGGUAGCUAAUACCGCAUAAUGUCUGCGGACCAAAGCGGGGGACCUCCGGGCCUCGCGCCAUCAGAUGAACCCAUAUGGGAUUAGCUUGUAGGUAAGGUAACGGCUUACCUAGGCGACGAUCCCUAGCUGGUCUGAGAGGAUGAUCAGCCACACUGGGACUGAGACACGGCCCAG